rnacentral:rRNA from 1 species
GAUGAACGCUGGCGGCGUGCCUAAUACAUGCAAAUCGAGCGAAUGGAUUAAGAGCUUGCUCUUAUGAAGUUAGCGGCGGACGGGUGAGUAACACGUGGGUAACCUGCCCAUAAGACUGGGAUAACUCCGGGAAACCGGGGCUAAUACCGGAUAACAUUUUGAACCGCAUGGUUCGAAAUUGAAAGGCGGCUUCGGCUGUCACUCAUGGAUGGACCCGCGUCGCAUUAGCUAGUUGGUGAGGUAACGGCUCACCAAGGCAACGAUGCGUAGCCGACCUGAGAGGGUGAUCGGCCACACUGGGACUGAGACACGGCCCAGACUCCUACGGGAGGCAGCAGUAGGGAAUCUUCCGCAAUGGACGAAAGUCUGACGGAGCAACGCCGCGUGAGUGAUGAAGGCUUUCGGGUCGUAAAACUCUGUUGUUAGGGAAGAACAAGUGCUAGUUGAAUAAGCUGGCACCUUGACGGUACCUAACCAGAAAGCCACGGCUAACUACGUGCCAGCCGCCGCUGUAA